AGUGAACGCUGGCGGUAGGCCUAACACAUGCAAGUCGAACGGCAGCACAGUAAGAGCUUGCUCUUACGGGUGGCGAGUGGCGGACGGGUGAGGAAUACAUCGGAAUCUACUUUUUCGUGGGGGAUAACGUAGGGAAACUUACGCUAAUACCUCAUACGACCUACGGGUGAAAGCAGGGGAUCUUCGGACCUUGCGCGACUGAAUGAGCCGAUGUCGGAUUAGCUAGUUGGCGGGGUAAAGGCCCACCAAGGCGACGAUCCGUAGCUGGUCUGAGAGGAUGAUCAGCCACACUGGAACUGAGACACGGUCCAGACUCCUACGGGAGGCAGCAGUGGGGAAUAUUGGGCAAUGGGCGCAAGCCUGAUCCAGCCAUACCGCGUGGGUGAAGAAGGCCUUCGGGUUGUAAAGCCCUUUUGUUGGGAAAGAAAAGCAGCAGGUUAAUACCCCGCUGUUCUGACGGUACCCAAAGAAUAAGCACCGGCUAACUUCGUG
rnacentral:rRNA from 1 species